GUAGUCAUAUGCUUGUCUCAAAGAUUAAGCCAUGCAUGUCUAAGUAUAAGCAAUCUAUACGGUGAAACUGCGAAUGGCUCAUUAAAUCAGUUAUCGUUUAUUUGAUAGUACCUUGCUACUUGGAUACCUGUGGUAAUUCUAGAGCUAAUACAUGCUAAAACCCCCGACUUCGGGAGGGGGGUAUUUAUUAGAUAAAAAACCAAUGCCCUCCGGGGCUCCCUGGUGAUUCAUAAUAACUCAACGAAUCGCAUGGCCUUGCGCCGGCGAUGGUUCAUUCAAAUUUCUGCCCUAUCAACUUUCGAUUGUAAUGUAGUGGAUUACAAUGGUGUCUACGGGUAACGGGGGAUUAGGGUUCGGUUCCGGAGAGGGAGCCUGAGAAACGGCUACCACAUCCAAGGAAGGCAGCAGGCGCGCAAAUUACCCAAUCCCGACACGGGGAGGUAGUGACAAUAAAUACUGAUGCAGAGCUCUUUUGGGUUUUGCAAUUGGAAUGAGUACAAUUUAAAUCCCUUAACGAGGAACAAUUGGAGGGCAAGUCUGGUGCCAGCAGCCGCGGUAAUUCCAGCUCCAAUAGCGUAUAUUAAAGUUGUUGCAGUUAAAAAGCUCGUAGUUGAAACUUGGGCCUGGCUGGCCGG
rnacentral:rRNA from 1 species